UACGAAGGGGGCUAGCGUUGUUCGGAAUUACUGGGCGUAAAGCGCACGUAGGCGGUCUAUUAAGUCAGGGGUGAAAUCCCGGGGCUCAACCCCGGAACUGCCUUUGAUACUGGUAGUCUCGAGUCCGGAAGAGGUGAGUGGAAUUCCGAGUGUAGAGGUGAAAUUCGUAGAUAUUCGGAGGAACACCAGUGGCGAAGGCGGCUCACUGGUCCGGUACUGACGCUGAGGCGCGAAAGCGUGGGGAGCGAACCGG
rnacentral:rRNA from 1 species